rnacentral:tRNA from 1 species
GGGGAUUUAGCUCAGUGGUAGAGCACUUGCCUGGCAAGCACAAGGCCCUGGGUUCGGUCCCCAGCUCCG